AACGAACGCUGGCGGCAGGCUUAACACAUGCAAGUCGAGCGCCCCGCAAGGGGAGCGGCAGACGGGUGAGUAACGCGUGGGAAUCUACCCAUCUCUACGGAAUAACGCAUGGAAACGUGUGCUAAUACCGUAUACGUCCUUCGGGAGAAAGAUUUAUCGGAGAUGGAUGAGCCCGCGUUGGAUUAGCUAGUUGGUGGGGUAAAGGCCUACCAAGGCGACGAUCCAUAGCUGGUCUAAGGGGAUGAUCAGCCACACUGGGACUGAGACACGGCCCAGACUCCUACGGGAGGCAGCAGUGGGGAAUAUUGGACAAUGGGCGCAAGCCUGAUCCAGCCAUGCCGCGUGAGUGAUGAAGGCCCUAGGGUUGUAAAGCUCUUUCACCGGUGAAGAUAAUGACGGUAACCGGAGAAGAAGCCCCGGCUAACUUCGUGCCAGCCGCCGCAGUAAGAC
rnacentral:rRNA from 1 species